UACGUAGGGUGCGAGCGUUAAUCGGAAUUACUGGGCGUAAAGCGUGCGCAGGCGGUUUUGUAAGCCAGAUGUGAAAUCCCCGGGCUUAACCUGGGAAUGGCAUUUGGGACUGCAAGGCUUGAGUGCGGCAGAGGAGACUGGAAUUCCUGGUGUAGCGGUGAAAUGCGCAGAUAUCAGGAGGAACACCAAUGGCGAAGGCAGCUCGCUGGAACGGUACUGACGCUGAGGCGCGAAAGCGUGGGGAGCGAACAGG
rnacentral:rRNA from 1 species